AUGUAGGGCAAUCUGUCUUUAAGUAGUGGUAAAUUACUCUUAAAGAAAAAAAGGAAUCCUAAAUAGUUUUUCCCUUCAAUUUAAGCGUCUUGU
rnacentral:pre_miRNA from 1 species